UGAAACUGGUGGAUAUUCAAAACCAUGCAUUCCAAAAGAUUGUUGUUUUUGUCAGUUUUGUAAAACUACUGAAGAUGAGUUAAAGUUUUUAUCUCGCUGCUUUAUGAUGUUAGUAACAGGCUACUUGUCGGAGUGAACUUGGGCUGUUUACAUACAUGUGAUUUGAGGGUAGUAUUGUGCAGGUGGGAAAAAAUGCCAUGAUAUUGUUUUCCGCUGUCGGUAGUUUGGCAUCAAUUUUAAUUACCCCCCCCCCCCCUCCUUAUUAGAUACAUCGAGAAUAAUUACCGGUGUGAUACCUUGGAAGCUGGUGUAUGCAUAAAGUUAGACUUAUUGGAAAUUGCUGAUACACGCAUGUAGAAAUGAAAAUUUUCUAUCAGCCGUAUUCACCAUCCCGAAUUUGCAGAUCGUCAAUCAAAAGGAAAACACAGAUUUCUAGCACUCGGAAGAAAGCGAAAAACAUGAACAAUCCUUAACAAUACUGUCCAGGUAUAUUUAGAUAACUUUUAAAAAUAUAUAUAAAGCUUUACACUGUAACAGUCAGAUUCCGGUAAUAUUUACAAGACUGUGACGUCACACUCGAGUAAACCGUCUGACGCGUCUGACGUAUGCAAGACAGCGAAUGUGAAAGUACUAUAGGAACUCUUAUAGACUGAUGAGAAUUACUUUAGACGGGGUACGUCAACGAAUAGGCACGACAGCGAAAAUACGGAAGUCACUUCGGGGACUUGUCGCAGAAUCGCAUAACUCUACACGAGAUUAAAAGAAAGAAAAGACAAUGAAGACAAUCAUGUAAAAACAAAUUUAAUCAAUUAAAUUAUCAGCAGAUU